rnacentral:rRNA from 1 species
UACGUAGGGACCAAGCGUUGUUCGGAUUUACUGGGCGUAAAGGGCGCGUAGGCGGCUUGACAAGUCACUUGUGGAAUCUCCGGGCUUAACUCGGAACGGCCAAGUGAAACUGUCAUGCUAGAGUGCAGAAGGGGCAAUCGGAAUUCUUGGUGUAGCGGUGAAAUGCGUAGAUAUCAAGAGGAACACCUGAGGUGAAGACGGGUUGCUGGGCUGACACUGACGCUGAGGCGCGAAAGCCAGGGGAGCAAACAGG